GGUAGUGUGGCCUAGAGAAGGGCACUGGAUUUGGACUCAGGAGACCCGAAUUCUAUUUUGGGCUCUGUCA
rnacentral:tRNA from 1 species